rnacentral:rRNA from 1 species
CCUGGCGGCACUAGCGCGGUGGUCCCACCUGACCCCAUGCCGAACUCAGAAGUGAAACGCCGUAGCGCCGAUGGUAGUGUGGGGUCUCCCCAUGUGAGAGUAGGGCAUCGCCAGGC